rnacentral:rRNA from 1 species
GGACCAAGGAGUCUAGCAUGUGCGCGAGUCAUUGGGAUAAAAUUCCUAAAGGCGCAAUGAAAGUAAAUGUUUACCUUGUGUGAACAGAGGGAAGAUGGGUGGCGCAUUGACGCUGCCUCGCAUUCCCGGGGCGUCGCACACUCAUUGCGAGAUGCGGCGCACCAAGAGCGUACACGCUGGGACCC